UGGGGAAUAUUGCGCAAUGGGGGAAACCCUGACGCAGCGACGCCGUGUGAGGGAAGAAGGCUUUCGGGUCGUAAACCUCUGUCAGAAAGGAAGAACCUCCCAAGUCCGAAUAGGGCUUGGGACUGACGGUACUUUCAAAGGAAGCACCGGCUAACUCCGUGCCAGCAGCCGCGGUAAUACGGAGGGUGCAAGCGUUAAUCGGAAUCACUGGGCGUAAAGCGCGCGUAGGCCGCUUUGUAAGUCGGACGUGAAAGCCCUCGGCUCAACCGGGGAACUGCGUUCGAUACUGCGAGGCUUGAGUCCUGGAGAGGGUGGCGGAAUUCCGGGUGUAGGAGUGAAAUCCGUAGAUAUCCGGAGGAACACCGGUGGCGAAGGCGGCCACCUGGACAGGUACUGACGCUGAGGCGCGAAAGCUAGGGUAGCAAACGG
rnacentral:rRNA from 1 species